CAAUAGUCAACGAGGUCUUUACCUACACGUUUCAACAACUCCAUCCCAUGUUAUGAUGUUUACAAGUACUCUCCAAGAAAUUCAACCAUUUAUAAACCAAACCACCCGUAGGCCCAUCCACAUACACCCACCUCCAUUUCCGAUCAUGGAACAACAAAUCACCACCACAGAAGCCUCGCCACCUCAUCCACCACCUUCCACCACCACCACCACCAUGGCAGUGCCACCAGAAACCCCAAAGAGACCACGAUACAACCGAUGCUUCUCCUCCUUCAUGGAGAUAUCAAUAGACCCAGGAAUCAAAUCCCUCUCAAGACUCGAUUCAACAAAAUUCAAAUUAGGAAUCCAGAAAUGGGCCAAAGCAGUCGUUCGAUACGCCCGCCAGGUCAGCGAUCGCUUCGGUAGCCGCCACGUCACCAACUCAACUCCAUAACAACAUCAUACUUGUGUAAUUACUCCAAUCGAAUAAGAAGAAGAAAAAGGUGUUGGAUUUACCAAUGCAGCAAAAGCAAAUGCAGGAGGAAAAGCACAAGCAAACAUCAUAAUCAUUCCAAAUUGCAAAGCCAACUCCAGAAAAUCUGUGCAAUAUUUGUGUAGUUUUUAUAUUGUAUUAUAUUUUGGAAAAAUGAAUAAAUAAAUUUAUAUAGUAUUACCAUCAAAGAGCCCAUCUUCAAGUUCAUCACCAAUACUUGCAGCAUAUACAGGCUUAAAGUACUCUUUUUCUAUUCUUGAAUUGAAAAUAUGUUUUCCACCUGCAUAUCCUUUCUCCCGUUUUCUCUUGUGGCUUCAUAAAUGAUGAGUCAGCGUUUAUUAAUUAUUCGACACUCGAUAUAAUUAUUAAAAAAAAAAAAGACUUACCGAAUAGCUCUGUAUUUUCUAUAACUGUAUUUGACAUAAGGCAGAGAAUUUUCCAUCAGAUUCUCCAGCACCUAGAGAACAUUUUUGGAUCAAACACUUUUUAAAAAUUAAAAAAUAUAUACAUUUAAGAAAAUGUGACUACAUUUUUAUAAUUUUAAUACCUCUGAUAUGAUUAAACGUUGAAUUAUAACUUGUCGAAGUGUCAUGAAGUUUCGAUGUAGAACUGCAUGAUAAAGUAUUCCAAUGUAUGAUUGCAUAAAGUAGAGACCAAAAACCUGCAUUAUGAUUUAUCACAGAUUAAAUUUAUAUACAAAAAAAAAAAAAGUUAAAUUUUUACAAAUAAGAAGUUUGCUAAUGACCUUAUAAACCAAACUAUUAGCUCUAUAUUCAGAACACUUGUUCUUUUCAUCUUUAAUUAAUUUCACAGACACUUUCCCUCCAAUUUGUGUAAAAUACUGGAUAGCAAACAGGUACCCUGCAGUCAACCCAAACCUGAAAUAUAAACAAUUUAUUAUAAACUUAUAAUUAUAAUAACAAAAAAGAUCAUGUAAUUGUAAAAAGAAAAAAAAAUACUCACUUUACAACAUCAGAUCCGAUGCUUUCAUACAAAUGAGCAUAUGCUAAUUCAAAUGGAAGUUGAAGGCAUAUGAUACUGAGAAUAAUAAUUGCAUCAUUUCUAAAUCUCAUCAUUCUCCCAAACCAUUCUUCUCUUUGAAAUUUUUCAUUUUCUUUUCCUUUAUUCUCCCCCCAUUUUUUAGCUGAAGCUGCUGAUGAAUGAAAGGAACUCCACUCUGUGUCCAUGUAUUUGUAAGCAGACUCUGAUCCAGCUGAAUAACUAAUCUGCCACCUGUAAAAUCAGGAAAAAAAAAAAAGAUUUAAGAAUUAGGUAUUAUUUUGUUAUCUAAAAGUAAAACACAAAGAUGUUAUAUAAAUUACCUGGCUAAAAGGGUAGAGUUUUUUCGCUUCCAGAAUUGGAAAAAUAAAACUGCCCAUGAAAUUAUGCAUAUAAAGAAAAAGGGAAGCACAAAUAACUGCAAUGAUCUGAAAGGAAAUUACAAAAUAAGAAAAUACGGGAUUAAUAAAGAUUCAGAUGAAUGUGUUAAGCCAAAGAUAUUUGUUUUUUUCCCGAAUGCAAGGGUAAAAUGGUCUUUUAGUCUCGUUAAGACGAUAUAUUCAGAGAGAAGAGAAGAAAAAACCACAAAAGAAAGUGACAUACCCAAAAUCAACCAAUUGCAAUAUAAGCCCAAACACUGCAGGGAAUAGCAACCAUUUUGUGUACAUUCCAAGAAAAGCAAAAUAUGUUGCAAUCUAUAUAUAAGAUAAGCAAUCAAUAUAAACAUCAAUAAAAUAGGCAAUAUAUUUAAUUAUAUAAAACAUCAACCCUUAUUUACCUUUGUUCCAUAGUAGGCAUAGAUCUCAUCGAUAGGUUGAUUUGUAAGGUCCCAUAAGUUUAGUGCCCAACGUUUCAAAAGCUGUUUUCUUUUUGUUUCAUCUAUGAAACAAAAUCAAUGGUAAUUACAAAACUAGAUUGUGAAAGAAAAAAAGAAAGAAUUAGUUAGUCAACAUACCAUGAAGAGGAAAGACUUCUUUAACAAUGGCUUCUGUCUCCAAUUUCCACAUAAGAGAUUCACCAGGCUCCCAGUUAAAUUUUCUGCCAUUAAAUUUUAAAACUACAGCAGAUUCGCCAUUGUUUACCUGUCAAUUUCAGUGUUUGAUUUCAGCGACUUAUAGUGAAAAUGUGAAAGAGUAGAUAUGAACUUACGAUUCCAUAUAUCAUGUGAUUGUAGCAACGAAAACGCUCACACCAACUGAAUAGCGAACCAUCUGAUUGUUUGAUAAAAGCCUCGGAUUCAUCCCAUUCGAAUUGUAAAUCCACACCUGCAACAAAACUACAUGAAGAAGAAGGAAGAAAUAUGGGAAGAUAAAAGGGGGGAGUAGGAUUAUCGUGUGUCGUUUCACCUAUAUGAGUUCUCUUCUUCAAAUGUAACUCAGCGGCUGCCUGACCUAAAACCUCCACCGGCGCUGCUAACUGGAAAAGAGAACAUGUUGAAAGGGUUUUAAUAGGGUUUUGAAAUUCAAUUUACAGGAUGCAGGAUUUGCUUGGCUUUUCUAUCAUAAUGUAUAAGAAAAGAAUCAUAUACGUUCGAUGAAAACUAUGCAUUUUAUUGAAUUGAAUGUAGAGGAAUGAACCUUGAGGAAUUCAUCGUGAAGGCCAGCAACUCUAUCGACAAUUAGACCAACUUUUUGAAAUUCAUAAACAAGAACUUCAUCACAAUCAUAACCAUAGCUGUCCCCAAUAUCGUCUACUACCCUCUUAUGAAUAACAACCCCUAUUUCAAAAGCGGCUUGUUUCCCCUUUAAUGUCUCCAUUUCGGAAUCUCCAAGAAAUCCCUGAAAACAAGAAAAUCCCUUCGGAAAUUUGUUAUUUGUGAAACAAAAACACGAAUUCUUACAAAAACCUAACUCCUACAAAAAAGGAUUAAAGAAAAUGGAAACGAUAACAUCAGAAUCAUCGUUUUAAACAUGCCGACUAGGUCAUAUUUAGGGGUUUUUUCGGAAUUGAAAAUGUGUUUCCGCUGUAACGCAAUAGAAAGGGAUUCGAAAAGGAGGAGAAAAGGAAUAGACAAAAAAUCAAAGACAGGUGUCUGUGAAAUCGAGAUUUGGGGGUGUGAUGGCGCAUUGAAAUUAAGGAAUGAGUCGCCACGUGGGUUUGUAUGACCCAAUUGGCGCCGACUUGUACUCAAUGAAGAUGAACUCAAAACGAUGAAGUCGUCAUGAAUUCAGCUGAAAGACAAAUGUCGCACGACUAUCGAUGUGCAUACAUCGAUUGCAACGCCAUUCCUUGUUUUCCAUAUCUGAAAAUGCGAAAUGUAGAGAGAUGGGACCAUGAAAACAUUUAUUCUGAUCAAAAUCAGAUGAUAGGAAUACAAGGUUCCUCGGAUAAAAUGGCAA